UACGGAGGGUGCAAGCGUUAAUCGGAAUUACUGGGCGUAAAGCGUGCGUAGGCGGUUCGUUAAGUCUGUUGUGAAAGCCCCGGGCUCAACCUGGGAAUGGCAAUGGAUACUGGCGAGCUAGAGUGUGUCAGAGGAUGGUGGAAUUCCCGGUGUAGCGGUGAAAUGCGUAGAGAUCGGGAGGAACAUCAGUGGCGAAGGCGGCGAUCUGGGUAGAUACUGACGCUGAGGUGCGAAAGCGUGGGGAGCAAACAGGAUUGAGAA
rnacentral:rRNA from 1 species